CCUACGGGAGGCAGCAGUAGGGAAUAUUGCUCAAUGGGGGAAACCCUGAAGCAGCAACGCCGCGUGGGGGAUGAAGGUUUUAGGAUUGUAAACUCCUUUUGUUAGAGAAGAUUAUGACGGUAUCUAACGAAUAAGCACCGGCUAACUCCGUGCCAGCAGCCGCGGUCAGACGGAGGGUGCAAGCGUUACGCGGAAUCACUGGGCGUAAAGAGUGCGUAGGCGGGGUAUUAAGUCAGAUGUGAAAUCCUGUAGCUUAACUACAGAACUGCAUUUGAAACUGUUACUCUGGAGUGUGGGAGAGGUAGGUGGAAUUCGUGGUGUAGGGGUAAAAUGCGUAGAGAUCAAGAGGAAUACUCAUUGCGAAGGCGACCUGCUGGAACAUUACUGACGCUGAUGCACGAAAGCGUGGGGAGCAAACAGGAUUAGAUACCCCAGUAGUC
rnacentral:rRNA from 1 species